rnacentral:rRNA from 1 species
AUUGAACGCUGGCGGCAGGCCUAACACAUGCAAGUCGAGCGGAUGAAGGGAGCUUGCUCCUGGAUUCAGCGGCGGACGGGUGAGUAAUGCCUAGGAAUCUGCCUGGUAGUGGGGGAUAACGUCCGGAAACGGGCGCUAAUACCGCAUACGUCCUGAGGGAGAAAGUGGGGGAUCUUCGGACCUCACGCUAUCAGAUGAGCCUAGGUCGGAUUAGCUAGUUGGUGGGGUAAAGGCCUACCAAGGCGACGAUCCGUAACUGGUCUGAGAGGAUGAUCAGUCACACUGGAACUGAGACCCGGCCCAGACCCCUAAGGGGGGCAGAAGGGGGGAAUUUUGGAAAUGGGGCGAAAGCCUGAUCCAGCCAUGCCGCGUGUGUGAAAAAGGUUUUCGGAUUUUAAAGCCCUUUAAGUUGGGAGGAAGGGCAGUAAGUUAAAACCUUGCUGUUUUGACUUUACCAACAGAAUAAGCACCGGCUAACUUCGU